rnacentral:rRNA from 1 species
GACGAACGCUGGCGGCGUGCCUAAUACAUGCAAGUCGAACGCAGUGGGGACGGGUGAGUAACACGUUGUAACCUACCCAUCAGAGGGGAUAACACUUGGAAACAGGUGCUAAACCGAUACUGAUGGAUGGACCCGCGGUGCAUUAGCUGGUUGGUGCGGAAACGGCGCACCAAGGCCACGAUGCAUAGCCGCCCUGAGAGGGGUAGCGGCCACACUGGGACUGAGACACAGCCCAGACGCCUACGGGAGGCAGCAGUAGGGAAUCGUCUGCAAUGGACGAAAGUCUGACCGAGCAACGCCGCGUGAGUGAAGAAGGUUUUCGGUUCGUAAAACUCUGUUGUUAAAGAAGCGGUAUCUAACCAGAAAGCCACGGCUAACUACGUGCCAGCAGCCGCGGUAAUUC